AGAGUUUGAUCCUGGCUCAGAAUGAACGCUGGCGGCGUGCUUAACACAUGCAAGUCGAACGAGAAAGGUCUUUUAGGAGAUCGAGUAGAGUGGCGCACGGGUGAGUAACACGUAGAUAAUCUACCUUUGAGACGGGGACAACCAUUCGAAAGGAUGGCUAAUACCGGAUAAAGUAUAUGGUCAUUAAGGUCAUGUAUGAAAGACAGCCUCUGCAUAUGCUGUUGCUUGGAGAUGAGUCUGCGUACCAUUAGCUAGUUGGUGGGGUAAAGGCCUACCAAGGCAGCGAUGGUUAGCUGGUCUGAGAGGAUGAUCAGCCACACUGGAACUGGAACACGGUCCAGACUCCUACGGGAGGCAGCAGUGAGGGAUUUUGCGCAAUGGGGGGAACCCUGACGCAGCAACGCCGCGUGAGUGAAGAAGGUCUUUGGAUCGUAAAGCUCUGUCAACAGGGAAGAAGUUAUUAAUAUUUAAUAGAUGUUAGUAUUGACGGUACCUGUGAAGGAAGCACCGGCUAACUCCGUGCCAGCAGCCGCGGUAACACGGGGGGUGCAAGCGUUAUUCGGAAUUAUUGGGCGUAAAGGGCGCGUAGGCGGUUUAGUCAGUCAGAUGUGAAAGCCCGAGGCUUAACCUCGGAAGAGCAUUUGAAACAGCAAGACUUGAGUACUGACGCUGAGGCGCGAAGGCGUGGGUAGCGAACAGGAUUAGAUACCCUGGUAGUCCACGCAGUAAACGAUGUUAACUAGGUGCUGGGAAUAUUAAAAUUAUCAGUGCCGGAGCAAACGUAUUAAGUUAACCGCCUGGGGAGUACGGUCGCAAGACUAAAACUCAAAGGAAUUGACGGGGGCCCGCACAAGCGGUGGAGCAUGUGGUUUAAUUCGACGCAACGCGAAGAACCUUACCUGGGUUUGACAUCCUGUGAAUUUUUAAGAGAUUAGAGAGUGCCUUCGGGAGCACAGAGACAGGUGCUGCAUGGCUGUCGUCAGCUCGUGUCGUGAGAUGUUUGGCUAAGUCCAGCAACGAGCGCAACCCUUAUCGUUAGUUGCCAGCACAUAAUGGUGGGAACUCUAGCGAGACUGCCCCGGUUAACGGGGAGGAAGGCGGGGAUGACGUCAAGUCCUCAUGGCCCUAUGUCCAGGGCUACACACGUGCUACAAUGGUAUGUACAGAGGGUAGCAAGCCAGCGAUGGUAAGCCAAUCCCUAAAACAUAUCUCAGUCCGGAUUGGAGUCUGCAACUCGACUCCAUGAAGUUGGAAUCGCUAGUAAUCGCGGAUCAGCAUGCCGCGGUGAAUAUGUUCCCGGGCCUUGUACACACCGCCCGUCACACCAUGAGAGUUGACUAUACCCGACGUCGUUGGGCUAACCAUUUAUGGAGGCAGACGCCUAAGGUAUGGUUGAUAAUUGGGGUGAAGUCGUAACAAGGUA
rnacentral:rRNA from 1 species